GGUCAGUGAUGUCAUGGCAUGUAUUAGCUGAAUGCUAACUUGAUGCAAGUUACAAAUGGCACUGAGACCUG
ensembl:snoRNA LOC120101235 small nucleolar RNA SNORD45